GACGAACGCUGGCGGCGUGCUUAACACAUGCAAGUCGAACGGAAAGGCCCUGCUUUUGUGGGGUGCUCGAGUGGCGAACGGGUGAGUAACACGUGAGUAACCUGCCCUUGACUUUGGGAUAACUUCAGGAAACUGGGGCUAAUACCGGAUAGGAGCUCCUGCUGCAUGGUGGGGGUUGGAAAGUUUCGGCGGUUGGGGAUGGACUCGCGGCUUAUCAGCUUGUUGGUGGGGUAGUGGCUUACCAAGGCUUUGCCGGGUAGCCGACCUGAGAGGGUGACCGGCGACAUUGGGACUGAGAUACGGCCCAGACUCCUACGGGGGGCAGCAGUGGGGAAUAUUGCACAAUGGGCGGAAGCCUGUUGCAGAAGCGCCGCGUGCGGGAUGACGGCCUUCGGGUUGUGAACCGCUUUCGCCUGUGACGAAGCGUGAGUGACGGUAAUGGGUAAAGAACCACCGGCUAACUACGUG
rnacentral:rRNA from 1 species